rnacentral:rRNA from 1 species
GAAGAUUAAUACUCCNUAAUGCUAAUAUGUGGCAUCACAAAUUAGUUAAAGAUUUAUCGGUACAAGAUGACUAUGCCGUCCUAUUAGCUAGAUGGUAAGGUAACGGCUUACCAUGGCAACGAUAGGUAGGGGGUCUGAGAGGAUUAUCCCCCACACUGGUACUGAGACACGGACCAGACUCCUACGGGAGGCAGCAGUGAGGAAUAUUGGUCAAUGGAGGCNACUCUGAACCAGCCAUGCCGCGUGCAGGAUGACUGCCCUAUGGGUUGUAAACUGCUUUUAUACAGGAAGAAACUUUAUCUACGUGUAGAUNACUGACGGUACUGUAAGAAUAAGGACCGGGCUAACUCCGUGCCAGCAGCCGCGGUAAUACNGGAGGGGUCCAAGCGUUAUCCGGAAUCAUUGGGGUUUAAAGGGGCCCGCAGGCGGGCCAAUUAAGUCAGAAGGGGAAAUCCCAUAGCUUAACUAUGGNACUGCCUUUGAUACUGGGUUGACUUGAGU